rnacentral:rRNA from 1 species
AUGGUCCAAGAUCUGCUAGGAGAUAUCCAUAGAGCCACGGUUGGGGUUGACGAGCAAGAUAACCAUAAUCCUGCUGGAGGUAGCAUUCUGGAGCCCAAUGAGUCAUCAACCAGAUUUGACGGCUUGCUCAGAAGUGCACAACGUGAGCUGUACCCGGGCUGCAAAGGUCACUCGGUGCUAUCCUUUGUUUUAAAGCUGGUACACCUCAAAGAUCUUAACCAUUGGAGCAACAAAUCUUUUGACAUGUUACUCAAGCUUCAGAAGGAGGCUUUGCCAGCCGGUAACUCGCUUCCAGCCACGUACUACAAAGCAAAGAAGAUGCUGAGAGAUCUAGGGCUAGGUUAUGAAAGUAUUGAUGCUUGCAAAAAUGAUUGUGUUCUAUUCUGGAAGGAGCAUGAGGACAAGGACGAGUGCCCAGUUUGCAAGGAAUCGAGGUGGAAGACACAAAAGGACAAGGGGAAGCGAGUACCUCAGAAAGUGUUGCGCUACUUUCCCUUAAUCCCUAGAGUACAACGGCCGUUCAUGAACAAGGAAAUAGCUUCAGAUUUGCGUUAUCAUAGGGAUAAGAGAGUUGUCGAACCAAAUGUGUUGAGGGGUCCUCCGGAUGGCGAUGCUUGGAAACAUAUGGAUAAGAAAUAUCCCUGGCUGGAUGAAGACCCUCGCCAUUUGCGGCUCGGGGUUGGCACCGAUGGUUUCAAUCCA